CUGAAAACUGGCACUUUGAGAAACCCUCCGUUUGUAAAAGUUGCUGACAUAAUGCACUAUCAUCUUCCUAUAGAUUGUGAUGGUGUGUCAGGAGCUAGAAUCUCCAGAAAGCCACUCAUGAGGAUGAAACAAAACAAAAUACUAUUUGCAAAACGUGUUUGUAAAACAUAUUCACCAUUCAGCUUUCAAAGGCUAUUCCGUAAGCAGAGAAAUGUGUACUUUAUUAGAGUGCCCUUGACUGUAAUCCUAAAGCCAAACGGGUUGCCCGUCAGGUACCUGAACCAAAUGAAACGGAAACAGAGCCUGAAGACCACGGCUUUCAUUACAUCUACAGUAUCAAUCUCUAUCCACCUUGCCAUCCAAGGAGGCCAAGAACAUGUACGUUCUGUGACUUCUCAGUAACUCACAUAUAAAUCACUUAUAUGCUUGCCUAUGCUCUUGGAGCUGCUGGCAUGUAUUUGGCUCAUCAAAACCAGCUGGAUAUAUUUUUACCUAAGAGUAAAUAAUUUGCAUUAAAAUAGUUUAAAUCUAGUUUCGUAUCUUGUGAGUGUAUGCUCAUCAGCUGAACCAUACUGUUUAAAGACCUCUGAUGUCUAUGCAGGAAAAAAUCUUUAUAGCAUUCUUUAUAGAGAGGUUUUUCACCAGGUAAUCAUCUGUUUGGCAUAGUCUAAGUCUAUCAGUAUUGACCAACACUAUGAAGACAUUAAACUAUCAGUAAAACACCUAUUCAUAAUAAAUGUCAUGCAUUAUGUCA
rnacentral:lncRNA from 1 species